CCAGCAGCCCCCUUUUUUUCCAGACAAAGGGUUGUGAGCCUGCCUGGGGAUGAGGCCUCAUGUGGUGGAAGCUGCCCUUAGCUUCGCGGGGCUGACAGCUCUGGCCCAGGGCGGUAUGUAAG
ensembl:misc_RNA